UACGUAGGGUGCAAGCGUUAAUCGGAAUUACUGGGCGUAAAGCGUGCGCAGGCGGUUUUGUAAGACAGGCGUGAAAUCCCCGGUCUCAACCUGGGAAUUGCGCUUGUGACUGCAAGGCUGGAGUGCGGCAGAGGGGGAUGGAAUUCCGCGUGUAGCAGUGAAAUGCGUAGAUAUGCGGAGGAACACCGAUGGCGAAGGCAAUCCCCUGGGCCUGCACUGACGCUCAUGCACGAAAGCGUGGGGAGCAAACAGG
rnacentral:rRNA from 1 species